UUUUGUUAUUAGUUUUAUAUAUAUAUAUUUUCGGUCGGUUUAUCUUCUUAUAUCAACCGACGAAUUCAGGUGAAAAGAAACUCCGUAGUUACGGAUAGAGUAAUGUCAAGAAUGUCACCUUAUCUGGAAAUAAGGAAAAAUAUGGUAUUAAUUGCUUUCAUUUUCCCGCAGGAGAGAUUUUUGCGGGAAUGUUGUCGCUCCUAUGAGUCCGGUACCUCGUUUUUCGCUUCAUUUAGCCUCCCCCCUCUCUCUCUCUCUCUCUCUCUCUCUCUCUUUCUUUGGCAAUAUCGAUGUUGUUGUCAAUAAAGCCAUACUUCGACAGAGCAAUCACUCUUUGUUUCACCACCCCGUUUCUUUCCCUCUUCUAUUGCGUCUCUUCGGCGUCUCUCGAAGGUCCUCUGUCCAAAAACUGCGAUUACUUAUUGGUGCUUCAUUGAUUGUCGCCGAGACAUGAUUACGUCC
rnacentral:lncRNA from 1 species